GCUCGUGCGCAUAUAUUUUAUGCUAUCUCAUAUCUCAUCUUGGACUAAUAGCAAAGGGCCGCGUACAUAAUUUAAAAUAUUUAUUUUUAUGUUUGCAAAUGAGUCGGAGGUUCUCAUGAAGAUAUCCUGUAUCAGUACAGUUACGAAAUAAUGAGUUUGGAAAUAUGUUCGUCUGUUCUCACGUCCAUCUGGGUACCAGCAUUUUGGGAAACGGCUGAAUAUCUGUGCUGCAGAUGUCGGCUUUUUACAAGCUCGGAGUACCAGAAGUUUCGGCAGUUUUUAAUUAGGGAAAAAACGUUAGUGAUAUUUGCCAAUCCUAGAUCAGAAGAUGUUAUAUUAGUUGACAUACGUCGCCAAGUGACAGGUCAAACUGUCGUUCUGGAGUAAUCGUUAUCGUCUGGCGGCAGCCAGCAUGGAUAUUUUUACUAGGAAAAUUUUAAUUCUAUACACAUUUUACUACGUUAA